CUGUAGAACUCUCUCUCUAGGAAAAAACUAGCAAAAGCCCUUCGUUACCAACUUGUAGAUAUCAGGUAAGAAAUGUUGCAUUUUGGGCCUGCGCCUUGUAAUCUAAUGUGAUUCUUGCUGCUAUUGGGUGGUGGUGGUUGUUGGCCUAGAGUGCCACUUUACUUGCUUUAUACGAUUGUGAGACGUCGUUUUGGGUAAGAAAGGUGGGACUAAAAAAUAAUAAAUAAAAAUAGAAUUGAAUGCUCUAGGUUGCAUAUGAAAAGAUGGGGAAUGGUGAGGUCUGGUGUUAGGUAUUAAGUAGGGUGUCCAUAUGUAUUGUUUUUUAAAAAAGAGGAACUGAUUAACUGGCUUCCCUCCCCCAAAAAGGGCGGAAGAUGGCACAUAUCUGUGUAAAUUUGCAUUUGCUAAUUCAUAUUUAUAAAUAACAGUUUAGAAACAGUUGCUGUGUUUUAAGUAGAAAUGUAAUACGUCUCAUUGUAUUGGGGGAGACCGACCUGCUUGUCUGCUCAGUCUGCUGUUGAGGUGCUAACUGUUAAUGGGAAACUGCAAGGCCCCUACUCUUUCUUUUCUUUGUAGCUUGGGAAUUGCGUCCACAAUAAUCAAUAGGAAAACCAUUGAAGCAUAUGAUUUUGUACAUCUGAUCAUUUGUGCCUUCUGAAUGUGAAUUCAGCAGCCAAGUUGUUCAUCAGGGCAAGAGAGUUUCUGCAUAUGGCCCACUGGCAAGUAGUUUCCAGGCCCAAUUCAAAGUGCUGUUUUUGACUUAUAAAGCCUUAAAUGGCUCAGGACUUCCUCUCUCCUUAUGACCCUACCUGGACCCUGAUAUCAUCAUCUGAGACAAUCCUUAAUGUACUGCCUCCACAAGAGGUCUGGCGGGGGGCCAUACAAGAACCAGCCUUUUCUGCAGUGGCUCCACUUUUGUGGAAUGCUCUCCCCAGGUAGACGCCAGGCAAAAGCUCUCUUUUUCAACCAAGCCUUUGGCUGAUUAACAUCUUAUACCCCUUUUAAAUGUGUUUGGUGGGGGGCAUAUUGGUUUGUGUUUUUGUAUUGCAUUUUUACAAUAUACUUACAAGUUUGUACAGUAUACAGACUUAAUAAAUAAAAUAAAUUAGCAAAGAGUAAUGAUAUUGCUUCAAUUUUGGUUUUAGCCCUGUACACCACUAGUGCGCAUCCCCAAGAAUUUUCUCCCAGGAAACUAAGAAAAAAGUUCCUCACCCCCGCCAUAUGCCUUAUUAGAUCAGAUGCUACCUGGAUUAUUGACUCAUGAUAUCAUAACCUCAGUAGAAACCUUGUGUGUGGACAUGUCCUAAAAUUCAUAUACCCACCAAACUGCUGAUGAUACACAGCCAACAAACUACUCACACCGGUUUACUUCUGCUUAAAUCGCUAGGACUCGACUACAAUGUCCAAGUACUCUGAUGUAAGUGGUCUGUGGACAGCAGCCAAAGUCAGCUCCACCACUUAAUAAGGGAGAGGAAAGAGACGGCAUUCUGAAAUGAAACCUCAUGAUUGCAUGUCAUCCUCAAUUAGGCAUAAGGAUAAAAGGCUAAAAAUAUACCCAACACCAAUCCCGAUUUAGGCUCAUCUAGCACACUGUCUGCUUAUCUUUUUUUUUAAGCAGAUGUACUAAUGGAAUUCCACCAGCAAGAGUUGAUCAAAACCACCAUCAUGCUUUUUUAAAAAUGGACAAAAUAAGUUAAAACAAACAAUGCAUACCAAACGCUCAUGCCAAGAGCCUUUCUGUCAAAUUGUUGGAGAUACUAGCAGUUAUUCAGCAUCAUUUGCAAAUGUUUCCCUUUCUCUAAACAUAAGAAGCAUCCUUAAUAUAAACAACAGCUUCUCCUUUUAGAAGUCCAAGGAGCCAGGGAAGCCAUACAGCUGAAAAGGGAAUGAAUGAAUGAAUCACUUACAGAUAUGGGUUUUGUUUUUUUAUCCUGAUCCUGUUAUUUUGAUAGUAUAGGCUCUACCUUUUGCAAGUGCUUCGAGAUGAACAUCUUUAACACAUAACCUCCUGUCAUAGGAAAUGAUUUGUGAUCAUGAUGCAGGCUGAAAGUCCCUAGCAAAGGUGGUGCGACUCGCAACACCAUCUUGCUCUCUGGGAUCUUGCUGCUUGUAACCACAACUACAAACACUCUUGUUUAACAGGAGGUUCCACCCUCUGGCCCAAUCUAGUAUCUGAAAUCUACCCCCCCCCACGCCCUCCUUGAAGAGCUUUGGUGGAAAGAAAUCUAUUACAGGAAGGCAGCCCCUGGGGCCAGCACCUGGUUUAUGUUAGCCUAAUACAGAGUAGCCAUUUAUUUUUCUGUACCGCAGAAUAUACGAAGGCCUGUCUCUGCUUUUCUCCAUUCAAGCCAAAGGUAAUAGACAAAUUCUCUAUUCCACCUUAAAAUGUAGUAUUUAGCAACAGAAAAAGAUCAGCAAAAUAAUUGGCAAUUGUAGUAUUAUGGCCUAUUUUAGGGUUCAGUGAUUUAAUCAUUGUUUAGAUUUAUCAGCAGUUUUUUUAAAAAGAACUAAGAAGAUGCCCUAAGUAACCUCACAUCUGUUGUUGUUGUUGUUAUAUUUAAUGCAAGUACAUGAAGGAAUUCAUGUACUAAAAUUAUUGGGCCGGCUACAUCAUAUACACGUUUGUCUAAAAACAUGUUUCUCGUUUCACAACGGUUGUUUUUAUCUGUAUGCAAAAAUAACUGUUUGAUCAAUUAGUCAAACAAAACUAUUUCAGUUAAAUAAUAAUGUACUUUGGUGUGCAUAUAGUUGGAAGUGUGACCCCUCACCCAUCUGUUACGGAUUCUAUAGCUGUGAUUCCUGCAUUGCAGGGGGUUGGACUAGAUGACCCUUGACACUCCAUGACCUAAAUAUUUUGCAGCUGUAAAAAGCUCAUGCAGGACAUUCAUUUAAUCUAACCAAAAAGCUGUCCAUUGCAAGAUCAAUACAGUUUUUGUGAUACUGUUCUGUAAUUUUUGUAGGCCUGUUGCAAGAUACGGUAAAUUUUGUGAGCUCAAUUCACUUUGUGCCAAUGGCUGUUCUUUGCCAUUAAAAUGUAAAAGGCAGCCUAAGGAUUUCAAAAUAGCAAGAUAUUGUCUAGAUUGGUAUUUAGUGACAGUGCAAUUAAAUCGUGUUGUGUUUUACAAACGCAGUAAGCAAAUCUCAGUGCAGAAUCCUUUUAAUUGCUUUGUGAAGCUUGGAAUCUCCAGUGACCCCCCACUCCAGUUUUGAACUUUAUAUGGAUGCUGUAGUCAAAUGAAAUAGCACAAAGGUAGAAGGAUAAAUCCUGGGACAAGAACUUGGGGCUGGUAGUAUAAAAGCAGGAACAUUCUGGCUCUGACUACAGUGGCUGUUACAUAUUUACAGUGAGAAGGAUUUUGGCUGCUCCCCGACUGUUACUGCCCACUGUGUUGCCAAUGGAUAUUUGGAUGUGUUUCUUAAGCUUGCCUUGCCAUAUGUAUUCUGUUAUGGGAGGGGUUUAUUGUUAUGAACUGACACCUACCCAGACCAGCUGGUCUCCAGCUAGGAUUGUUUGCUACUGUUUCUUGCCAUGCCCUGGUCGGCUCAAACUGCUUUUUUUUUUACAAUCGCAUGAGUUGUGGAAAUUCAACAGGUGAAGUGUUUUCUAGCAUGCUGUGAUGGAAUCAAUUCCUGCUAUUGGUUUUGUGCCUCCGAAGCAGCUAAAGGCAUAUGUUGCCACUUGCUGGAAUAAAUAUGUCUGGCGGCAACCCUAGAUAUUACUCCUGUCUCUCUAAAAUAUGUGGAAGAGCUUUCCAAAUAUAACAAGCAGACGUCAGAUGAAGUGCAGGUUUGCUGGAGGUCUGGAGAGGAAUUUAUUGUAGAGAAUGUACAUCUAUUUUGUCCAACCGGAACAGUGCUUACUGCUUGUGGGGGGAUGGGGACCCUUUGCACUUUGAAGAUUCGGUCUAUGGCAGGUGAUGUGAAAGACUGCCUAGUAUAAGGCAGUUUUCUAUGUCCCUGUCAGCUCAAAGGUAAAGUUGCAAUAAGGUGAGGAUCUGGAGGUCUUGCACAGCAGUCUCCCAAUAACUGAUGCAGAUAUUGUUUGAUGCAGCAUCAAAAGUGGAUAGUUCAGUUGGUUAGAGUGUGGUGCUGAUAAUGCCCAAGGUUGCAGGUUUGAUCCCAGUAUGGGGCAGCUGCAUAUUCCUGCAUGGCAGGGGGUUGUACUAGAUCAGGCUUCCUCAACCUUGCUCCCUCCAGAUGUUUUUGGCCCAUGAUCCCUAGCUAGCAGGACCAGUAGUCAGGGAUGCUGGGAAUUGUAGUAUCAAAACAUCUGGAGGGCCGAGGUUGAGGAAGCCUGUACUAGAUCAUCCUAAUGGUUCCUUCCAACUUUACAAUUUUAUGAUUCUAUGAGAUAUAAUUGAUAAUGGAGCAGCGAGAUCAAUAUGAAGUUAAAGGAAUGGACUCACAGAGGACCACACCAUGUGGGCCAAGAAACUAAAAUGUAACCAAGCAAGACAAGUAUUUAUUCAUUUUAUUUUUAUUUAUCCCACUCUUCCUUCUGAAGAAGCCUAAGUAUUCUUGGUGAGUAGGACCCUUGAGCCUACAACAGGGUACAGCUAAUUUUGGACAGGGGUUCACAGUUCUGGAGUUCUAUUUGGACCAUCCCUUGCUCCUGUAGAUCCAGAGGCUAAAUCUAUAUGCAAUAUAUAAUAACAAUCUCAAUGAUAGUUCUGGUGGUUGUCAUCAGGAGUGCUUUUGCAGUUUAGCUAGUGAGCCAACUGCAUCUGUUCCUGGAGAAGGAAGACCUGGGUGUGGUCACAGUAGUAUGAGCUAAUAAUUGGAGUAGCUUAGAAGAUCAGCUGCAUGGAUUUCACAGUAAUUAGCAUCUGUUGUUAGUGACCAAGCCAGCCAAAGUUCAGGGAAGUCUGGAUUAAAGGAGAGCACAACUCACCAUAAUAUUGUUCCAUUUGAAAAUAAAUCAAACACUUGUUCAUCCUCUGUGUCCAACUAACAAGUAUACUAGUAUAACUCUUGGAGAAAUCCUUAUAGAUAUGGAAAAUUAAAUUUCUUCAUGGAGAAGCCUCUAGGGAGUGGGGAAGCUGUGGCCUUCAGAGGUUGUUGGACAGAAACUCCCAUCAUCUGGAGGGCCACAGGUUCCCUACCCUUUCUCUAGGUCAGGGGUCGGCAGCCUAAGGCCCAUGGGCCACAAGCAGCCCACGGGAGUCAUUUAACCGGCCCACGAGCUGCCCCUGAACCGAGUCGCUUGACGAGUCCCCACGCGCUGCGCUAAACCAGCAUGGCAUGGGGACUCACUUCUGUGACGCUGAAAAUUGCGUCUGCGCAGGCACCUGAAAUCGCGGGCGGGCGCAAUCCGUCCCAAAGAAGGAUCUCCGCUAGAGUGAACCGGCCCAGGCAAAGUAAACCUUGCUGACCCCUGCUCUAGGUGAUGGAGACUGAAACAGCCAGACACCAUAAAUACAACUAUUAAUAAAUAAAACCAGCUGAAUCAUAGGGCAAAACUGGACUGCUUAAGACACACAGAGCUUCAGGUAUCUUUGUGUCUCUUUACUUUCUGUUUUGCAACACUUGAUACUGUACAAACAAUGCAUGAAAUUGGUGUCUUAGGGAGAGAAAGAUACCCAGUCCAGUUAUGUCAUUCCACUGUCUAGUUUGUUUUUAGUCCAGGUAGGUGAUUUGUAUCUGCCAGUGGUACUGGUUAUGAACUGUUGUUAUGAUGGAUGAUCAUUCCCAAAGGAUCCCCUUAAGGAAAUAAUUCAGUAGGUGGACAUCAUUAUAGGGUGUCGCUGCCCACCUGACCUCUGGUUGGUUGGUUGUGUUGCUGUUGCUUACCAAGAGGUAGCGGGACAAGGCAGGGGACAGGUUAGUUCAGGGCAAAUGUAGCAGAGGUUAGGAGCCCUAGAUUGGAUCUGCCAUUGUGUCUGUACCACACCUCUCUAUCUUCCAGUAAGGAGCAUCAACGUGGUCAGGUGAGCAGAGUCACAUCUACACACCCAUAUCUACUGCAGCUGAAAUCAUGUGAUGGAUUUAAGGCAUACCAAUACAGUUCUGAUUCAGGUAACUGAAUCAUCAUUUUAAAAUGUCUAAUCUCCACAGUGGAUAUGUGCAAGGAGUGCCAGCCCAUAUGGGCCCUCCUCACUAGUAGGUAUGGAAGAGAAAUAUGUUUAGUUGGCAUUUCAUACACACCUGCCUAAUUUGUGCCUCCAAAACCAAUACAUAAACCGACAUGCAGCUUCCCUUCAAAUUUCACAUUUUUCCAAGUUUUGUGAUGGUUCUUCAACCCCAAAAUAAAUACAAAUUCAUAUGCACUCAAAAAUAUUUAAAUUAGUGAGAAAACAUAGAAAUGCAUUAAGUUAGGGGACAUUGCUUGCACAAAGUGUAUAUUUGGUAAAAUUGCAUACAAAAAUUGUAUAUAUUAGGGGAAAUGUGUAUGAAAAGGAGUGUGAAUUUUCAUGUACAGUGUUGUGGUUUUUUAAUUGCAUACUGAUGCAAAAAUAGGCUGACUUGAAACUAUGAUGGGGGGGGAGGGGAAACUGAAAUUGACAGAUUCAUCCAUUCCUACCCACUUGUCCACACAACCUACAGAUGUUUGCAUGUUGUAUAGGAAUAUCACAUGGGAAAAUGUUCCUGAAUUUCCGUGCGCCGCUUCCCGUCUGUGCAUUGCAGAGCCAGACUGGGAAUGGGAAGCUGUUGACUAGCUUCCAGCAAAAGUUAGACUGCCUUGUUGCCUCAGACUAAUGACUGUGUUGUCCAUCAUCCUGUUUCAACAGCAGCCAGCCAGAUGCUUGUAGAAACAUAUGGACAGAGCAUAAAGAUAAUAGGCGUUCUUUGUUGUUUGACUGCUUUUUGGAACAUCAAGUAUGGGGAGCUGCCUUUUAUCAGGUCUUUGUUCAUUUAGCCCAGUGUUGUCUACUCUAAUUGGCAGUGGGCAUGGCUUCAGGCAGAGGGUAUUUCUCAUCAACAGCAAUUUGAUUCUUUUUUUUACAGCUGGAGAUGCCUGGCAUUGAAUGUGAGACCUCAACCCCUAAGCUAUGGUUCCUCCCAUAACACUGUUGCCCCAGUAGUCUGUUAUGUACUUGCUCCCACCUGAAUCUCGCCAUCCUGUGGGUGCAAAAAGUUACACAGGAACAGCUUGCCAACAUACCUGCAGAAAACAAUUAAACAAAUAUAACACAACAAUACUUUUGCCCACUACUGAUGCCACUAGAAUGGACUGUGUGUCAUAACAAUAAGUGUUUUAUGUGUAAAAUUGGCCCAUUAUCCAGCUCAGAGCAGAUGAAAUUCAAAACCUGUUCUGUUACCUCCUGUUACAUCUUUAUACUAGACCUACUAGGGGUCUGCAGCCUUGAUUUUGGCAGAUAAAUACCAGCACACACAACAUCCCUCCUGCAAUCCACAGACCAUGUGAGACUGCAUUCCCUCCAGGCUGUCUGUGCCAACUGCUUUCUGUCUUGCGUGAUCCCAACCAAUCUUUCCCUCUCCUUCUUAUGCCAAUUUCCAUUACCAUAUUGAGUUUUGAAACUUCUUCUUUGUCUCUCUUGCUCCUACCUCUUAUUUAAUGGGUAGAUGUUGUUUUGCUUACUCUCCCCUUAGUUUUGCCUCCCAUCCUUUACACAUGCGCUAUAGUGGCAAGUCUUCACUGACACAAGUGCAAUGCAAUGUAGUAAAAGAUUGGAUCUUAGGAUUGCGGCAUUGAUUCCUCAGCCUGUCUCCCUGGAAUAUGAUCCAUAAGCCAAUUUCAGUUCCUUAAAAAAAAAAAAGUUUAAGUAUCAUCUGUUUCUUCCUUGAGAUUUCAGAUUUAUGUAAAAAUGGAAGCUCUAUACGCUGUUUUUCUUUUGCAUUAGGAUUCUGUCCAACUUCCAAUUCCCAAUUUAGAUUACAUGCUCAGAAAGCAACUCCAAACGUUUACUGCGUUUGAAGGUCACAGCGCUAUUGAUUGAUUUCCAGUUAUAAUGUAUGUUGUCCUAACAUAAGGAGCGGGUGAGGGUUUGCAUGGCUGUUUUUUCUUCUCCAAAAUCUGGACUAAAUCCAAAAAUGUGAGGAUCAAAGCAUCUGGACUUGUUGCUUUUAUGUUUGGCACAUAAAGAGGCUGGCAGUCCCCAAUGUGGUCUUGGCUGGGCUCAAGUUGUUUUCCUUCUCUGAUGUGAAACAGUUGGGACUCACAGACCCUCCAACACUUAAAGUGGACUAAAUAAAAACUGGCUUUUAAACUUGCCAAGUGCAUGAAAGUGCCAGUCCCUACAGUUUUUCAAAAGUUAUUAGCUAUGGCAUGCUUUUUCCCUUCCCUUUUCUUAUUUUUUAAUGAAAAUAUGUUCUAUAAAAUUGGACAUUUGCUUGAGAAAUAGGUAAACUCAUUUCACAAGUCUCAAAUUAUUGUUUUUGAUCUGGCUUCAGUCUCUCUGGUCAGUUGGAUAAUGUGAUGCCCACAUGUCUUUGAUAACUUCAACGGAGCUGAAAUUGGCUCUGGCUUUUACUACAGCAGACCCGCCCCUUAUUUUGCAAUGUGUGAAGUUCUUGAGAAGGUGGUGGUCAAGUGGAAAGAGUUGCAUGUGGUUACUGAGGGUGGGUUCAGAGGUUUGCUGUCACUUCCUUUACAUGGAGUGUCCUUAGCAGCCAGGGACACAGCCAGUGUAAAAUAAGGAAUGCCUGACCUGAUGUGCCUUGGUUAAACUGCUGCUUCGUGGUAGCAAUUUGUGAGAGUGUGGGAGCCAAAAAUGUACUGUGCAGUCAUGCUGGGAUAGAUCAGGAUCAGAUGCUACUUUCAUCCAUGCAGUUUCACUGGACCAUGAACAUACAUAAUAUAUGCUGUCAUUGUGGAUACAGCCCCAGGGAAUGCAGGAAACUACCAUGUAUACAGUAUGCCCAACUGUGUGACUGGACCCUAUAUCUGCUAGGCAAUGGAUGCUUUUGCUAGGACUCUAUUGUCCAAUCUGAUAAACUGUUUUGGUUAUGUAUCACCACAUAGGGCCAGUCGCUAAGUUUUCCAACAAUUGAUCCAGUACAUUGAUCUGCAGACCCCUUGUGCCUUUGUAAUUUCUGUGGUUACUCCUGAUUGCAUCUUCCACAGGUCAGAUAUGAAUGGCGGGAGCAUCUACACAAUGUCAUUUUCGGUGGCUACAUUCUAACUCCGGACUAUCUUCCUUUUGGAAGAAAAUUGUUCAUGUACUUAAUCUCUGGAAGAGCUUUACUUUUGGCCAACUAGCUAGGAACAAGGAAUGUCCAUAUUAGCUAGAUAUUUAUAAUGUAAUAAAAUGCCAUGAACAUACAGGAGAAUCUUCAAUACAAUUUCAGUAUAUAAAUAAUGGGUCUACAGGCUGUGACUAUUGCUUGUCUGGUAGCCUGUUAUUAUUAUUAUUAUUAUUAUUAUUAUUAUUAUUAUUAUUAUUAAUUUAUUCAACUUAUACAGCCUAUAAAUCAGUGAUCUCUGUCUCUUUAUUUACGUUUUUUCUUUCUUCGUAUUAUCGCUAGAAAAACACUGCUCAAAUGCAUUCUUUCCACAUAAAAUAAGUUCGGAAAAUAACUUGGUCCUGUACUAACAUUUAGUCACAAUACCAAGUAGUAUUUUAAAAAAGAAAGUUUUGAUUACAAUAUACAGUACAAAUAAAUAAGCAUAUGUGCAAUUAUGUUCUGGGUGCAAUGUUUAGCAGUGAGAUUUUUGGUUUUAUGGGUCCCAUGGUUAAAGCUGACACUGAGGGUGUGAGAACAGGUAGAAGCAGUGAUUAAUCCGCCAAGCACCUUUAGUACUGAAACAUUCUGUUUUAUCGCAGAGGAAUUUCAUUCAGAUGGCAAACUCUGUUGUUGGAUAAAAUAUUGGCUAUUGUCUCAUACCAUAAUAAACGGUUAAAUGAGGCGUUUUUAUUGAAAUGAAACCUGCCACAUGCACAGUAGGAGAGAAUAUCCAGUUACAGCCAUGUAACCAUGUCAACUCGGUUCCACUAGAUGCAGCAGGGCUUACUCCCUUACUAACCUGCAGUUAAUUUGCACACUUAAUAUCCAUGACAGUAUAAGAGGGGACCCAGCAGCCUAGUGCAUAGAAUUUGACACGGUGUUAGAAGAUUUGGGUUCAAAUUCACGUCUACUGUAGAAUCUACAAGUCAUUUUAAAAGUGUAUUUAAUUAACUACGUAUUAUACAUCACCUUUCAGGAUCCAAGUAUCAAAGUUGCAUGAAUAAAAACCUCAAUCACCAUAAUAAUGAUUUUCCAAUUGAUUUAUAUCCCACCUUUUCAUCCAAGGAACGCAUGGUUGUGUGCAUGGUUCUCCCCUGCUCAUUUAAUCUCCACAACAACCCUGUGAGGUAGGUUAGGCAGAGAGGCAGGGACUGGCCCAAGGCGUGUGUGCUUCAUGGCCAAGUUGCGAUUAGAACCCGGGUCUCCCGGGCCCUAGUCUGGCACUCUAACCAUUCCACCACACGAGCUCUCGUGAUUCAUCAGGCUCCUUUCCACAGGCCAAUUGGUGGGGGAGGGAGCAAGGGUGUAGUUCCGGUGGAGGAGACCCCGAGGUCUUAUUUGCCUUCCGUUUUCAACAGGAAUCCUCCCCCCCCCCUACACACACAUUGGGGAAGGCUAAGCCAGAACUUUAGGAAAUCCAGCAGUUCUGCCCCUUUUCACAUCUGUGAAGCAGGCAUAUGAGCCUAAACCCAAAUAUGUUGUAUGCUGUUACUCUUUUACCUAUUAACAAUCUGCAGGGAAGGGUUAUGGGAAUCGGUCAUAUCACAAACACGUUAUGUCCACAUGAAACGUCACGUUGCAUGCCCAGCGCUGGCGCCCUCGCUGAUGGGUGCAUACGUCUAUAUUAUUCAAUGAAAAUCCUGCACAAUGGCCAGAUACAUUCAGGUGGAUUGUUGGAAAGGGGAGGACAGUAGUUCAGGAAGCACAGAGACACUGCAACUAGUCUGUCAACACUUGAAAAAUCCAUUACGAAGUUCAAAUAGGAAAGCAGGUUAUGGAAACAUCAGCUUAAGACAAACGUUUCCAGUCACUAGGACUCCAUUCAUUAUAUGCCUGAGUGGUUCCAGGAACAACAGAAAGAAAGCUAUGCGGUAUUAUAAUGCCAAGUACAAGAAAGGCAGUACGGAUGUUCUCUUGAAUCUCACUCGUGGCAAUCUCCAAUUUUUCAUGCUUCCCCUGCUUUGACCUGCUGCUUGGUCUCCCUCUGGAGUUUGGUGCUGAUGGCUUGUCUUUGAUCAAAGUGCUGCCACUUUCAGUGGGUACAGUGUGGGAGGAAGUCAAUUUAGCACCCUUUCAGUGAAUAAAUACCGCCUCGCUUUAUUUACCCACAGUGUCACUUUCUGGAGAAACACCAAUUCUUUGCCUGACCAGGCCUCUGUUUAUAUAUUAUCCAGCGUAGCGAUCAUCUUGUGAUUGCUCUCACCCUACACCCAGUAGUGUAUGAAGGAAGUUUCUGAUGCCCACAAAAUAAAAUACAGUGAAUGAAUAAAUAAUAUCGGAGGACCAGCUUGUAUUUUACUAGUCAAAUAAAAAUAAAUAUUUAUAUUUGCAGAUACUAAAAUUAGUUGCUGGCAUCCGUUUGUCUCAAGAGACAAUGGAGUUCACCUCCAGGAGUGAAGUCAAACCCUUGCGUUAGCAGCACCAAAGUGACCACCCUGGGACACAAGCCUGGACAGUGUGCAUGGAGAUCCUGGGCUGACAAGACCCCCCUUUUGACCUGGAUGCAAACUCUGUAGGUAAAAAAAAGUAAAGGACCUCUGGACUGUUAAGUCCAGUGAAAGGCGACUAUGGGGUUGCAGCGCUCAAUUCACUUUCAGGCCAAGGGAGCUGGUGUUUGUCCACAGACAGCUUUCUGGGUCAUGUGGCCAGCAUGACUAAACCACUUCUGGUGCAACAGAACACCGCGAGAGAAAUCAGAGCACACAGAAACACCGUUUACCUUCCCGCCGCAGUGGUACCUAUUUAUCUACUUGCACUGACAUGCUUUCAAACUGCUAGGUUGGUAGGAGCUGUGACAGAGCAGCGGGAGCUCAUCCUAUCGCAGGGAUUCGAACCAGCAGCCUUCUGAUUGGCAAGCCCUUGAGGCUUAAUGGUUUAGACCACAGCGCCACCUGCGUCCCUAUAGGAAACAAGGAAAGACAGGGAAGGUGUACUGGAGGUGGCAUCACUCUGUACUUCCCCAAAAUGAGGGGAUUGCUAAAAACGAAGUUGGAAGGCAAAGUCAAGAGGGUCAAAUCUCCCCUAAAUGCUUGGAUAUUGUUUAAAACCACCAGAAUAAAAAAGUAAGAAGAAACUGGCAAUUCUCUGAAUAGAUAGAUGUAGAAAGUGGAGUCCCUAAGGACUAGAAUUAAGACCUCUGCUUUUAAAUUUGUUCAUAAAUGAUCUAAGGUUAGGGGUGAGCAGUGAGGUGGCCAAGAUUAUUGAUGAUCCUAAAUUGUUCAGGGUCAUGACUGGUGACCAGCUAUAGCUCAGUGGCAGAGAACAUGCUUUGCAAGAAGAAUAUCAAGUCCCUCUCAUUUCCAGUUAAAAUUAUUAGGUAGCAGGUGGUGAGACCCUGGAGUGUCCCUGCCAGUCUGACUAGAUGAUACUGGGCUUGAUGGACAGAUACAUUGCUUCUUAUGCACUAUGGUUGUUGCUGUUGUUGUGGUGUGGUGGUGUGUAUAUACAGUAUGUAAUUACUGUUUACUUAGGGUCAUUGAAGGGACGCGGGUGGCGCUGUGGUCUAAACCACAGAGCCUAGGACUUGCUGAUCAGAAGGUCGGCGGUUCGAAUCGCCACGAGGGGUUGAACUCCCAUUGCUCGGUCCCUGCUCUUGCCAACCUAGCAGUUCAAAAGCAUGUUAAAGUGCAAGUAUAUAAAUAGGUACCACUCUGGCAGGAAGGUAAACAGCUUUCCGUGUGCUGCUCUGGUUCGCCAGAAGCGGCUUGGUCAUGCUGGCCAUAUGACCCGGAAGCUGUACGCCGGCCCCCUCAGCCAGUAAAGCGAGAUGAGUGCCACAACCCCAGAGUCAUUUGCAGCUGGACCUAAUGGUCAGAGGUCCCUUUACCUAGGGUCAUUGAAGCUCAUGCACCAUUCUGUCGCUCAUAUUGUUUUGGAGAUCUUGGCAUAUCUAGUGAAACAGAAGGUAAGAGGUGAACUUUGUGGUUAUAAGCUCUUCUGCUGAAGUCUAUACAACCCCCUACCACUAAUACUUGUACCCAUCACUAUACCAACCUUCCCCCACCCUCUCCAAAAUCCAGGUCCCCCCCCCUUUAAAUUUUGCAAAUAAGGAAUUUUCUUAUUGCAAAUGAUGAUUUUUAUUACAGUGUCAAGAUGAUAAAGUAUAGUUUGAAAUCUGUAUUAGUGUUGAAUACAGGUAAACGUAAUACUGGGAAAGCAUGCAUCCACAUUAUGCCAAGAGGAAAAUCGAAACCAUGGCAUAGCCUUACUGUGAUUAUCUUCGUGACUUGUUUCCAUCAUUGUGAAGAAAACAUGAGCAGCCUUUAGCAAAUCCAAGUUUGAUCAGGGGAGCUCUUUUGAAAGAAAGUAAGAAAUUUCCAUACUUUUUACUAAAACCCCGACAGUCAGGAUUAAUAAAACAACAUGCACAUAGCAAGAACAAUAUCAUCAUUGCUAAUCAACAAUGAGAAAUGUUGCCUGCAAGUCUAAACAGACCACAAGAAUGUUGGAAAGAGUGAGUUUUUGCUAUAGCUUGUGGUGAGGGAAGAACAUUUGCUUAUGCUCAUAGUUGGCUAGAUAGAAGAAGAAAAGGCGUGUUGCUGCUCUGUGAAGGCAUUGUGCUUGGUUGGCCUCAUAUCCAACAUGAUUCUGAUUUUCAAAAGCACAGGCAGAAACCUCAGAAUUGAGGUGGGCAGCUGGUAACUGUCUCCCCUGCAUAACUUAAGUUUUACGAAGUGCAACUUUAUACAGGAAGUUAUCAACUGGGAAGGUAUGUAACCUACCAACUGAGAAGUUUAUGGUUAAAAUCAGAGCCUGGAAGGAAAUUGGUCAUAAGAAAGAAGAUGAACCAGUUUCCUCGGGUAUCUUUCAGCCCCCAAAUCGGCAAAAUUCAGCUUGAAAUUGCUAACUCUUUAUUCUGCUGGCCUAAUAUUUUGAUGAGGUCUGGGGACACAAUACAAAAGCAUCCUGUGAAAGUAUGUCAUUUCUUAAGGGGACAGAGAGAGACUCUGGUUAAAGCAGUUUUAACACUGACUAGCACCUUCCAGGGCUUCCCCAUCGGGCACCAACCAUCUCUGUUGUGGGGAGCCAAUGACUCGUUGCAGCUUCAAUGAAGGGCCUGUGGCAGGGGCAGGGCCACAUUCUGUUAAAAUCUUAUGAGGGCCAAAUGUCAAUACAGUGGUACCUCAGGUUACAGAUGCUUCAGGUUACAGACUCCGCUAACCCAGAAAUAGUACCUCGGGUUAAGAACUUUGCUUCAGGAUGAGAAGAGAAAUCACGCGGUGGCAGCACGGCGGCAGUGGGAGGCCCCAUUAGCUAAAGUGGUACCUCAGGUUAAGAACAGUUUCAGGUUAAGAACGGACCUCCAGAAUGAAUUAAGUUCUUAUCCUGAGGUACCACUGUAGUGGGUUUAGCCAAAGACAAAGAGGGUGUGGUAAUGGAUGUGACCCCUACCUUUGUACAGUAGGCUACAUUCCAGCCAUACCAAAGCCAUUGGUUUCUGCACCCACCCACACCUCUCCAUCCAGUGAUCACUGUUCAGGGACACAUUCCAUCCUAGUUGUCAUGGACUGGUUGGAUGCAGAGGAAUAGUGGGAGGAACCUGGUGGGGAACCACUGAGGGAAGAAGGCUCAGAGCCCAGGAAGUGGUGGUGGGACAACGAUGAAGAAGAAGGAGAAGACUGGGAAGAGGUGUGGAAACUGAUGAGGUAACAGGGCUUUGUGAGCUGGGAGAGUCUGUGGCAGACGGAAGGCAAUAAUCAGAGACAGAAGCUGAAGCAAGAGGGUAGGAGGAGGGAGGUCAAGAGGCAGAGAUGAAUCAGGUUGGUGAAGAAGCAAGGAUGUCUCCCUCCUGCUGCAUCAAGCACCUCUCCCCCUUUGUCUCAGAACCAGAAGAGACAUGAAAAGGGCAGAGGAGAGGUUAGCUGCAUGCAGGCACAGUCUCUGAUUACGUAGAGGAAGACCACUGGGAAUGAGCUGCUCUGCUCAUUAGGGCUUUUUUUCAGCCGGAGCUCACUGGGACCCAGCUCCGUCACCUCUCAGGUUGGUGCCAUUGCCCUUCUAAGACAACAACUCAUGGUGAGUUCUGGCACAUCUUUUUCUAGAAAAAUAACAUUGGGCCUCAAGUUGUGGAGAUUGUGGUUUUGCUUAUAAAGAGUUAACUCCAUCUUGGAGCUAUGUGAUUACUGACCGGCAUGCUCCUAUAACACUGGUAAAAGCACUUGAGCUGGUGAGGCAUGUUGCUUGCAGAGGGGCCAAGAACUAGGGCUAAACACAGGGGCCUUAAGGGCUUCAUUUGGCCUCCAGGAGCACACCCCUGAGCUAUGGAGUUUAGGGAAUAGAUGUGGUUUGUUUUUUUAAGCAAACCACAAAAGCUCUCCAAACCUCCCCUGUCCCACUUGCCAUCUCUAGCCCCACUGACUCACCCACCAAGUCCAGCCUGGAUCAUAGCUGGCUGAGACUUGUGCUGAUGCCAGCUGAGGUGUUAGCACUGCCCACUCCCCUGGAGGGCCUGCAGCUUGUGAAACCUCAUUAAAUAAAGAAAAACACACAGCAAUCCCUUAGCUUUUUCAAAAACCUCAUAAUCAGUAUUAAUACUACUUUUCUGGUGCCAGAUGACAUGGAUUUUAUUUAUAUCACACUGUAUCAAUAAUUAGCGAGGCAUUAUUGAGCUAUAUGCUUCUUACUUUUGUAGUAGAUGAUUAAAUUUUGUAAAAAAUAAAAACCCCGACAGAACAGUUGUGAAACUAACACAGUGCCAUAGGCCCAGAGAUUUUCACCGGUACCAGCGCAGAACAUCUGCAUCAAAUGAUAUGCAGGGUUUUAUUCAACUCAGUUUUAUUUGAGCAGACCUACUGACCUUAGUCAUGUUCAUUAAUUUCAGUAGGUCUGAGUAGGACUGGUGUUGGAUAGAGUCCAGAGUUCCUGUGCCCUAUAUCUGACUAUCUAUUCCUUAAAUUUCCUAUCAGAUGAUGGUGGUAUGUAAACAUUUUUCCUGAUGUUCUGGCAUCAUGACAUCUAAAGGGAGAGAAAGGGUAGACACAAUAGCAGUCUGCAAAUAUAUGAAUUUUGCAAUUUCCCCCAUUUGUCAUUUAUUAUAGAAGUUUAAGGGGAAAUUCAAAUUCACAUCUUUAUUUACUUGCCUUGUGAAACUUCAGUGUUUUUGGCUUGCUGGCCUUAUUUGCUUAUUUGCAGUUUGGGGAGGUUUCCUGUCAUAAAAUCAUUACGAUUUAGAAGGGAUCUUGGUGAUCAUCUAGUCUAACCCUUUGCUCAGCGCAGGAUCUGCAAAGCAGGAUGCUGUGACUAUAUCAUCCCCGACAUCACCCAGGCUCUUCGGCACGUGAGAGCCCACCAUCUCUCAGAUUACGGUAGUCUGUUCCAGUGUUGAACAACACUUGCCAUUAGGAAGGUUCUCUGAAUCUUUAGAUGAUUCCCUUCAAUUUCCACCCAAGAGAUGGUCCUUCAGGUAUUUGAAGAGCGCUAUUAUGUCUAACCUUAGUCUUCUCUUCUCCCAGCUAUGCAUACUUUGCUCUUUCAGUUGUUCUGAAUGGCUAUUUGUUACUUGGUUUAGUUGUAUUUUAACUUUGAUUUCUAUUUGUUUACAUAUUUGGGGAAUGUUCAGCAAAUCCUCAAAGGAGGAUUUUUAAGGCAAAUUUGGGUCAGCCCUUCUUUUCACAAUGGCAAAGACUUCAAGAAAUGGUGUACUGCAUUCUGUAGUGGUGCUUCUUCUUCUGUGGCAAUGCCAAUAGUACGAACACAGGCAAAGGGAAAGGCAAUUUGCCAAAUACUCCAGAAUGGUAAAGAUCAUCAAUCCAGGCUCAACUGACCCCAGUUGCAGCCUGAUGUAAUGGAGAUGAGAUGAAGGCUUGCAGUUGUUUUGCUUCUUAGAUACACAUGAGCAUAUGUCAUGCAAAUGGGCCAUGCACAUGAAUCGCUGCCAGAUGAGUCCCAUGAAGUGAAAGCUGCAAUCUGGAGUAUUACAGUUUAGAAGUCUGUCAGGCAUCAUGCCAUAUGCAUGGCCAGUCUGUGUGCUUGCCCACGUAUGCAGUCUUGGGAAGCACUCUGGAAGUCAUCUCAUGUCUGUCAGGUAUGGUUCCAAGCUCUCUUUGUUACAGGAACUAAUCAGAGAGACCCAGUAUGGUGUUCUAAACACUUCAUGAUUUUUCAGUCGGAUGUAUGCUUUAGGUUGAUCAAAAUUUCCGUCCUUUUGUAGUGGAAAGAGGAGGGCUGGUAUGGCAAUAACAUAUAUGGAAAAUAGUCACAAACCAUUUAUAAGUCCCUGAUUGUUAACAGGUGGUUCUUGCAAAAAAGGAGAUGAUGAUGGCAUUUCUGCUCCCCUCCUCCCCCAAAAAGAUGCUUAUUGUCUUCUGUGUGGUACCUUUUACUCUUUGCAAUGGAAUAAAAAACAAAAACCAUUUAACACCACCCUCUUUUGUGUUUGUUCACAUGGGAAAUGCAUGUUUAGUAAGUGUGAUCUGUAUGUUUCUCAGAAAUGGCAUGUGGCAAUGAAAAGUGCAGUGCAUAUGGACUUCGGCAUCAGUGGCUACCUAGAUGCUUGUGGGAAACUUGCAAGCAGGAGCUGAGCACAACAGCAGCUAGCAUUCAGAAGCAUACUGACUUCGACAGUGGAGGCAGAAUAUAGCCAUCAAGUUUAGCAGCCAUUGAUUAUGCAGUGAUUAAAAGUUGCUUAAAUUCUUCUUAGCUGAAAGAGCACUUUGUGGCAAGAGCUUCUUUUAUCAUAAAUAACCACGCAGAGGUAGAACACAGUAUUCCCACACUCACCAAAUGAUGGCCAUACAUAAGCAUUUAGACUCUGCUUGUCUGUCUUCCAUUGGGUUACCAAAGUCACAUGACUGGUGAGGUUCUUGCCAGAUUGCUUCACCUCUUUUUUUCCUAGCUUGCAAGGUGGCUAGUGGAUUCUGGGAGAUUCCGCUGUGGACACAGCCAAAUGGUGAUAGCCUCUAAAUCUUCUUGUAUUCGUAGCAGGAUGGCUUGCUGAAGAUGGAUUUUAUAACUGUAGGGCACCAUAGAUAGAUGCACAACUCAUCCCAGGGUAAUCUUACUAAUCGUUUUAGAGUCUCUUAAAGUAAUGAAGAUUAUAUCAGUGUCAAUGGAUUUCAAAGAGAUAAAUCUCCAGUGGGAGUGCAAAUGCAUCUAAAUUCUGCUGCUGUCAGAUAGCAAGGGCACAUACAUUACUGGUUGCUGGCAAAGUAUCUGCUCAUACAUAAAACAUAUUGCAAUCAAGCUGCAUCAUCCACUUUUACUACCAAACUUGAAUGGGGUGGGGAGUGAAUUGGUGGCAAAAGCUUGUGGAGCUUAGAAGAUAUACUUUCUAAAUUGCUCACUAUUUUCCUGGACAGUUUUUUAUUUUGGGGUGUGGGUAUAAAAGUAUUUGGGAAAAUGAGAGGUUGAUGGUAGAGGUUGACUUUGGCACAGUAUCAUGGGCGGAUGAUGAGAUGUCUUCUCAUUAUAAGGACUGGACAUAGGCAGGGGAAAAAUACAACGCUGCCAAAAGCUGGAGUUUUCUGAGAAUUAUGAUACAAACAUGAGCUUCAUUCUGCACUAAAGACAGUGAAGACAGAUUUAAUACAUCUUGACUACUAUUGAAAUGCUGAUCUAACAGAGUCCUUCAAUCAUCAUCAUCUUGUGUAUCAAGUGAUUGAUAUAGCACAUUAGUGUUCAAAGGUCAUCUCUCACACACACUCAAUAAUCUUUACAACCUCGGAAAAAUGGUGUCAUGCUCCUUCUGGGCUAAUUUGUCCACCUUUGAUCCCCACCCUGUGCUCAGCUCUCAUCUGUGGCUCCUUGAAGCAUGUCCACACACCAAGAAUGGUUUCAACUGGCUGGCUUAAACCAGUUGAAGGCAGCCGAUUGGUCUCAAACCCUCACUGAGUUAGAGACAUCAACUGCAUGCAAAGACAGGCUCUGGCGGAUUGAGCGGAUAAGACCAAUAGUGGUUCCAACGGUCAAUAAAGUGGUUUCUGUACGUGCUGUAGUGGGAAAUGAGGGGCAGAUGGGGUUCAUCAACCUGGGAAGGUAGCCCAUCUAGCAGAAGGAAAACUGUGAUCCUAAACCUUUGCUGCCUUGCAGGAUAUCUUUGGGAGAAGAAAAUGCUAAGGAGUAAACCGUACACAAAUCCGGAGUGGAGACCCUAAGGCAGUUGGAUGGCACCUGAAACACCUGUUUCCAGCAACUCCUGCAGCCAAGCUGAUGCCAGACGUAUUGCUCUGCUUUCCUUUCCAUCAGCGAGGCCAAAAUCUGGGCGGCCCAGGACCUCUAUACACACUGCCCAGGCUUGCACCCCAGGAAGGUUACUUUGGUGCUGCUAACGCAGCAAUUUGACUUCACUGCCACACGAGUCGCACUCUGUUGUCUGAGACAGUCAGAUGCCACCAAAGUAUUCUAUCCAUAUUGCAGAUAGGUGGGACAAAAGCUAAGACCAUCUACAGACUUUAUGGUAGAAUUAAAACAUUCUGCUUCAUAGCUCAGUCUACUAGCUAUGCUAAAGUAGCUCUCGGGUGCUGCAUUACUUGUUUUUAUUUUUAUUUUAUUCAAGACCAUUUAUAUACCUCUUGGUUGUAAUAAAACUCUAAGCAGUUUACAGGAAAAAUUAUUUGCUGCCUUGACUAUUACUGCAGAAAGGUGGAAUAGAAAUUAAUUGUAUAUGCUAUGCAUAGUUGCCACAUACCUGGUAAUAUUGUUCACUUUGACGGAAUAGCUUUCCAGGAUCACAGGCAUAGGUAUUUUCACCGCAUCUUACUUAAUCCUCUUCACUGGAGAUACAAGGGUUGAAGCUGGUACCCUCUGCAUUCAAAGCAACGAGCUAUAAUAGCAAUGACUGUAGAAAGGACUAGAAAGGAUUCAGCCUGUGCAUUUGGGAUUGCAGACAGCCUGCAUUUCCUAAGCUUCAAAAAGUUCGUUUGCCAAAUUAUCCCUUGGCUGUGUGUUACUAAAGAUUUGAGGGCAUAUCCAGGCAAUGUUAAGUACUUUUGCAUCUUACCAUUCUGGAGAGAGAGAGAGAGAUGGUUUUGAGCACGUAUUUAUUAAAUAUUUGACCCUUGGACAACUGGGACUUGAGAAUGCUUACCCUUUGGUAUGAUGUAGAUCACACACAUUCUGCUUAUGUAGUGAGUGGGGAAGUCAGGGUGCGCAUCUUACAACCUGUGUUGAGGCCAGAUCGCUAUUGGUUGAACCAUGGUUACAUUUCUGAAUACUUGCUUCAGUGCCAAAUGACUGAUAAAGAAGAAAGACACAGAAGAUCCAUGAACAUGUUUAUUUUCAGCAUGAUAUAUCGGUACAACAGAAAACACUGCAUUAGUGAACACUCUCAUGGCUGUCACUGACAGGUUGUAAGUGUUUAGUGAGCGGGCUGCAGCAGGGGCGUAGUAGGCGUGGGGUAGAAGGGCCAUAGCCCUGGGGGCACAAUUUUUAGGGGGCACAAGCCAGGUGCCCCCCCAGGAAUCUCCAUCCCUCUCUGCCUGCUGCCGGGGGGCCUCUGGACCCCCAAGCCUGGCCUUGCCUUGCCGCUGUGUCCCCGGCCCCCUCACUGAAUGGCCGCCUGGUUGGGGAGGAUUUGCCCAGCAAGGGCUGCUUUGGCCGGCCAGGCUCCUUCGUACACAGGUGGGCAGGGGCAAGGUGCAGCCCCACUUGGCUCCGGAGGCCAGAAAUGAGCUGGUGUGCAUGCCUUAAUAAACAUGCAAUGAAACACAGAUGCCUCCCAGCAUCACUUAAUACACUGCAGCAGAGCUCCCACAUAAAUAUAAUCUUAAUGCGCAGUCAACCAUAGUUGAGAUAAGACAAUCUGACGAGGAGGGAAGUGGCUGGCAAAAAUGGCAUCCUUGCCGCUUUAAAUAUGGGGAGGCCAGCUUUCAGUCCUCCUGAUCACCAGCCUUUUGAUUUCAUGUAUAGAGAAGAACCCUUAUGGAAUUUGCCCAGGAUAGUGGGUUUCCCCUUCCCCUCCUGUGGGAUAAAGUAGCAACGUUAUAACCACUGAUGCUUCUGAAAUGUCUCUUUGGCUUUUAGGGAAGGAAUAAGAAGGUAUAAUUUCCAUGUUUGUCCUGCUGGCAGCUUCCAAUGCUGUGUUGGUUAUUACUUAGGCAAACAGAAACCUGCAGCCAAUCAAAAUAAUAUGCUUGGCAGGAAAGCUGGGCAAAGUUUAAUAGCUCGGGUUCUUCAACAUAAAAAGGAUAAAAAUGGACUAAUAAUUUCUGGCAGGGCGGAGCAGGGAAUAUUUAAAAUUCUGAUUGUUUUCCUAUGAGGUUAACAUUAUGAUUACUGAAGUCUAACCUAAAACAUGCGGCUCUGUUCCCAUGAGCUGAAAGGCAAGUAAAAAUCUACUGGAUUUAAAGCAAGGAUGCCAACUGUUCUGGGUGUCCAGGUCUGGGUGUCUCCAUACUCCUUUCCAAAUGCUGGACUGAAUAUGUUUUCUGUAAGGAAGGGCACAUGGUUGAGACACUCUCCAUGGCCUCAAAGCAGAAGGGGAUUGCACUCACCAUUUCCUCCUCCAAAUCCAGAGCAGCCACACCAGCUGGCUGCAAGAGCCACUCCAUUUUAAAAUGUCUGUCUGAAGUGUUAGGAUGCUCUUGAUGCGAAUUAUAAAAAAGCCGUAUAUGGCAAACAGGCUGCAUCUUGGUCAAAUUUCCUUCCCCUGCAUCCCCCCUCCAAUGUGUUCUGGGUCUUCUCUCCCCGCCGGCAAACCUCCAGAGCAGAUUUGGAGAGGGUCCUGGGUGUGGUCUGGGGAAGGAGGGGGGAGGUCUGUAUCGUAGUGGUAAAUCCUUGCACUAAUGGAACUAGGGUAUUGGAUACCAGCCUAUAUCUGGAGAAAUGCAGCUGGUUUCAAAUUGUACAUGAUUUCUCAUGUACACAAUAAGUUGACAAUGAACACUCCUGUGAAUGAGUAGAAUAUGAUUUAAAACAAACAAACAAACAAACAAACAAACAAACAAACUGAUGGCUGCACAUUAGCCUGGGAGAGUAAUUCCCUAAAUGUUUUAAUUGUUUUUACAUACUCACAAGCAUGUCAUCUCUUAAGAAUGGGAUGAAACUUCUCAUAUGAAUGAGCUGGCGCUUGUUUUCUCGGUGCGCUGCUCUGUUGUUUGUAAUUAUGUUUGGCUGCAUUAAACUGUUCCUUUCUAUCUUUAAAAUUCUAAAGCCUCCAGAUGCAGCAGUGAAAUCUACAUGGAAGCACAGAGAAUUAUAAGACAGCCAGAUUUCACGGUAAGCAGCCUCAAAGCAACUACAUUUUGAGGUGUCAAACUGUAGGGAGGAAGGGAUCUGCCAAUUUUAGUUUUCCAAUCUUAAGUUCAGUUGCUCGCAUUUCAACAUCAAUUUGCAAUUUUUUUAAAAAAACAACAACCCAGCCAUCGUGAAAAAUUGUCAACAUUUUUUUUUAAGCCCUCAGGAAAAUUUGUCAGCAUUUUAGUACAAGUUUCUCAUAAGACACAUUUUUGUAUACCAUAAUGACUAAUACAUUUCUGCAAGCAAUUUCCCCAUAUGCAAUACAUUUUGGCGUGUUAGUUUAUAUGAAGUUUUAGGCACACUUGCAUCUAAUAGAUGCAUUUUUGUACACAAUAUUUGGUUGGAGAACUGCGUCGGCAAAUUUAGAGAUGUGCAAAUUUCAAAGGAUAGCUGCAUUUCCGUUUGUGUAUUGUUUCGGGACAUUCUAAUUAGGUAGGUUUGCUUUAAAAUGUGAACCAAAUCAAAUUUCUCCUAUCUCCCCCACAUCAGAGUAAAAAUUUGCAAAGACGGGUGGAGCACAAUGUGCUGCAAACUGACUUUUAAAGAACUGUAUCUGAAGCAAACACAGACUGUCCAGUUCUCCCUUCCCUUGUCUUGCAAUAUAUUACUAUGACAGCACAAUGGAAAGUCUAAUUUCCAGUGAGAACUGAAACCCGAGUGAAGUGUUAAAAUGAGAGAAAGGAUGUCAAACCUUGCUAAAGAGAUGCUUGGAAUAAUAAGGGGGGGAAAGGUAUGUGCUUUCUGAGAGGGGAAAAGAGAUUCUUGUGAACACAAAUACAUACACACUGGGUGGUAUUCAAACAACUUUUACUCAGAGUAGACCCACUGAAAUUAAUGGACUUAAUUUAGUCGUGUUCAUUAAUUUCAGUAGGUCUGCUCUGAGUAAGUGCUAGUUGAAUACCACCCAGACAAUUUGCUACAAAAUUCAAAACUGCUGAAUUUGCUAUGCUCAGGAUGAAUUUGUACCUCUGGUUUAGCAUUUCUGAAGCAAAAGGUAAUGUUCCAAUACUCCAGCAUGGUAUGUAUUUUACAAGAGGCAUCAUAGCAUUCACUGAUUUCGAGAAGCUUUCAAAACUAAUCAGUAAGCAAAAUGAUUGUAUCCAGGCACAUUUGUAAUAUAUUUUACUGUUUUCAUUGCUGGCACUAUGCUAAGACCAUUUUAGAAGAAAAUUCAUGGAGUAGUCGUAUAAAACAGAGUAUAAACAAGUCUGUUAACAUUUAUGGCACAUUUAUGAAAUAUAAAAUAUACAUUAUAUAUCCCCCAUGCAAACAAAAUAUGCAUAAUAGCUACCUGGGCAGAUUCUACAUGUCAAUGUAAUAUACUAGCCAAUAUUUUAACCCAUACGCAGCACAAGCCUAUGCACACUUCCUUCAGACAAAGCCCCAUUGAACUCAAUGAUAUUUACUUCCAAGUAAACAUGCAUAGGAUUCUGCAGCCAAUCUCCUCCUUUGGCAUUUUGACUAACAGGGAGAAAGCCCAUGAAUAAACUGACAUAAAAAGUCAUUUCCAGGUCAACUUUUUUAAAAAAACACCACAUUUCAUAAAAAAAUAGUUUGCUGUUCACCCCAAUACUUAUUCCUCAUUUAUAGCCUACCCCGAAACUGGAAAAAUAAAAUGAUCACAUUUACAGUACAUAUUUACAAUCCCAAAUUCAAAAAGUUGGUAGAGAAGUGUAACAAUGGACAUGUCUUAGGAAUUAUGACUGACCAAAGUUUGUUUUUUGGUCAGGGUAUUGCUCUAAACAAAUUUCAAGAUAUAUAUGUUCAGGGCAACUGACUGCAAACCAGAAUGCAUAUCUUGCCCUCUGUGCAUCUAUUUCAGAGUAUGUAAACCAGUGAAUGGCCACUGGUAAAAUCAAUAGCUUAGUAUUUUUCUUGCAUUACUCAUGUGGAGGGCAUUCAGAGAUAAUGGGAGCAGGGCUAGCUGCAGAGGUUGCAAAUGUGUGGAGAGCUUAUGGAGAAACAGCUACAGCUGUUCACUUCAGGCAUCUGUAUUCAAUCCAUGGAUUGUGAAGGGUUGGGACCAGAACCAGCAACAAUGCCUCACUUUCUCUUCCUUGACAAGAGUAGCAAGUGAAAAGGGAUGUGGACUUACUUAAAGCCAUGGUUUAUUUAUUUAUUUUUAAUUUUUUAAAGGAUUGGCUUUUGCCAUUUCUCAACAGGCUUGAAACAACAAAUCAGACCUUUGGUUGGGCAAAGCUACACACGACCCUGAUUAUCAUUUUUCUAUCUUAAGGAGGAAUCCCACAUCCAUUUCUCCUUCUCUUCCUGUAACAUUUAAUACGGAAAACAGAUGAUAGCUAUGCCACCUCCUUGCACAGCCCAUUGUCACGCUCUUAUAGCACUGAGUAAUGAGGAGCAAGGACCAGAAGGAGCUGCUCUGCUAGCUUCCUGGAAGGUGGGGUUGCUGUGGGUUGCUAGGAGGGAGAGUUUCUAGAAGGGAGAGCAGAAGGGAAGGUUGGUGUGGUGCAAAUUCACCAGCAGGAGUGCUUAGCUGGCUCUGCCAGUGUGUCUGCACCACACCAACCUCCCUGCUGCCUCACCCCUCACAGGGAGAGACUCACCUCCUGGGAAGCUAGCAUAGUAGCUCUGUCUCACCCAGGGAGCUGCUUCUGGCAACAUUAGAGAAAUCAUGACUAUGUAGUGUGCCACAUUCCUCAUUUUAAAUGUUACAGAGUAAAAACGGGGAAGGCGGAGGCUUUGCUGUUUUUGAUGGUAGUCUGUGUUCUGCCUCGUGUGGAAAAAUAAUGACCAAUCUUACACAGUGUUGAACAGAUUCAAAAUGUUUCAUGGGCAUGCAUAGAAUUCUCUUCACAGGAGAAUUAACAUGUACCCAGAGCUGUUAAAGUUCAUUAAGUAAAUAUUACCUGGUAGAUAACUUCGGUGAAAGUCACCUCAUUCUCCCCUUUAUAGCUGCCUUGUCAAAGAGCAGGAGAAAAUAACAUUGAACCCCAAUCCAGGCAAAGUUUAUCAUGCUGAAGUGGUGCAACUUGCUUGUCCCACCCAUUCCAAUGGGACUUAAAUGUGACUUCCUUUGGGUUAGGGCAGUUGAAUGGAAGCUCACAAUCUGCUGUGAGUAGCUGAGCACUAAGUAUGCACCAGGUGCCAAACUAAACAGAAAAGUGUCAGGGACAGGGCAGAAAAGCUGGUCAGAGGAACUUACAGUCUGUUAAGGCUGAAGGAGUGAGCAAUGUAACAGUUAAAAGAUGGGCCGGUCUUUCUGAACUCACAAGUCAAACCCCAGAAGCUCUUUCAGCUUGGAAUCCAUGAAACCAGACGGGGGCAUUUUGUGGGAUUUGGGCGGUACCACUGAAUCUUUUAUCCAAUUUAACCUGAUACGCCCAAUUACUUACGGGUUUAUCCACAAAGUGAUUUUACCAUGUCAACGAUGUGUGGCUGUGCUGUCAGAAUGUGCCCCCAUGUGGUGCAAACUGGUAUUUUAUGACAGCAGAAUGGAGAUUUGGUUGUCGUGGUUCACUCCGUUGCAGGAAAAGAUACCGACUUGCACCCCAGAGAUUUGCUCAGACAUAAAUGAACAUGGUAAAGUUACUUGGUAGUGACUUUUCACACCCCCGUAAAGAAUGUGAGAAUUGGGCUUUCAGUUGGGCAUCUCUAUAGUGAGUUUGUUGGUUAUACUUAAUUGCUUGUUUGUUGUACUACCAAAUUUCUCGUUAUUCCUCCUGUCUGCCUCAGAAGGAACCUGUGUGCUGUGCUUUGUGCCAAAGACAGAUAGAAGCAACUGCCGGCCUUGUAAAUUUUAAAUAAAAAACAGGAAAACAGCAAUUGUUGUUUCUUUGUCCUAGCAUCCCUCUUGACCCAACCUGAUAACAGUUUUGCAUCAAGUCCAGUCUAGUCUAAUUAAGUCCACAUGACACCUGCACUCUGUUUUGGCUAGUAAAAAAGGGCAGGCUUUGGGGCUUCUCCAUCAUGUCCAGAUUCUGCCCCAACCACCUUUUAGAUUUUUGUUGUUUUGCAAAUUACCUUGUGAAACGAUGGUCCUGAAAAACUGUACAGUGGUACCUGUGGAUGCGAACGGGAUCCGUUCCGGAGCUCCGUUCGCAUCCUGAAGCAAACGUAAGACGCAACUGCGCGUCUGGUGUUUCGCCGCUUCUGCCCAUGCGCGUGACGUCAUUUUGAGCAUGUGCGCAUGCGCGAGCGGCGAAACCCAAAAGUAACACUCUCUGUUACUUACAGGUCGCCACGGAGUGCAACCUGAAAAUAUUUAAGCUGAAGCAUAUUCAUCCCGAAGUAUGACUGUAUUCUGUUAUGAAAAAUAAAAUCAAAAGCCAACAUUUAC
rnacentral:lncRNA from 1 species